rnacentral:rRNA from 1 species
UGGGGAAUAUUGGACAAUGGGCGAAAGCCUGAUCCAGCCAUGCCGCGUGUGUGAAGAAGGCCUUUUGGUUGUAAAGCACUUUAAGCGAGGAGGAGGCUACUUAGAUUAAUACUCUAGGAUAGUGGACGUUACUCGCAGAAUAAGCACCGGCUAACUCUGUGCCAGCAGCCGCGGUAAUACAGAGGGUGCGAGCGUUAAUCGGAUUUACUGGGCGUAAAGCGUGCGUAGGCGGCUUUUUAAGUCGGAUGUGAAAUCCCUGAGCUUAACUUAGGAAUUGCAUUCGAUACUGGGAAGCUAGAGUAUGGGAGAGGAUGGUAGAAUUACAGGUGUAGCGGUGAAAUGCGUAGAGAUCUGGAGGAAUACCGAUGGCGAAGGCAGCCAUCUGGCCUAAUACUGACGCUGAGGUACGAAAGCAUGGGGAGCAAACAGG